CGUGACGUCACGCGCCGUAUCCCGAGCGCUCCCCUGAGCGCGUGGUCCUGGUCGCGAGCACAUGGAAGUGAGGUCGAGAUUUGUGUCUGUGAGACGCGCCACUCAUCAUGAGAAAAAAAGGAAUAUAAAAGCGACCAAGCAGCAACAAAAACUGAGAUUAAAGCGGGUGGGUGGUGUUGCAGACCCUCAUGCAGUCCCAAGCUUUUACUGCAGCUGUCAUGCUCAUAGAUGACUGAAGAUACUGAUCUGAAAGGGAAGGAUGCAAAGGUGGAAGCAGUCAGUGUUGGAUUCAGUUUCACUGCAUCUUAAUGGAACACACACACACACACACACACACACACACACACACACACACACACACACACACACACACACACACACACACACACACACACACACACACAGUAUAGUUUUUAAUACUAUCUACUUCCCCCUUUCUUUGAGAUGACAUGUACACCCUGAAUGGGCCCCUGUGGUGAUCUACAUUGUAGUCGGGAAGUACCUAGUGUUACAACUGCCAUGCUGGUCUGCUUAAAGGGACAGUGCUGAUCACUUUUAUGUGCAGUGCAUUCUCCUUUCAGGGCUUUUCAGUCACCUGUUGGAUGUUUGAGUUGUCGCCUUGAUAGUGAUUGAGCGAUUUUUCUGUGCAGAGUUCAGGAGUCAAAGAAGGCCUUUUCUCUUUCUAAAUGAUCAGGAGGUCCAAUUGGCUCACUUCAAAUGCAGAAACAGUUGAAGGAGAUUGAUAUUUGUUUAAUAUAUCUUAGGCCCUGCUCUCACCUGGUUUUAAUAUCUGUCCUGAGUAGUCCCGCAUUGCCAGACCUUGCUCCACAGCGCUGCGGAGGAGGGUCUGGCGAGUCCACACAGCAUUCCAGGAUGGGAGAAAAACGUGCUCUCGUUUAUUGGCAUUUCUUUAAACCAAUCACAAUCAUCUUGGACAAUGCUAACACCCAGCGGAGCAACAGUGCUGCUGCAAAAUAGCCCCGGGAAGGAACUUCUUUGGUGGGAACAAAAAUUGUUUUAGUCGUGCAACCAAAAACUAAAGUCUAAAGUCAGCUAGCUGUCUGGAUUUACCCUGCAGAGAUCUGAGGAGCAGUUAACCAUAGUCCUCAGAAAUCGACCAGAGUUUAAAAUGCCAACACAAAGAAAGCGGAAGGUAACAGAGAUCUGGCUGAAAUGAAAGACAUCCAUCGGAAUAUCUGGCAGCACCUGAACAAUCCCGGAAGUAAAAUGUCGUGGAUAUAGACUAGUCCUGAGUAAUCCGAUCACAAGUGGGCAGCUCUAAGUACGUGUGUUUACACCUGGCAGUAGAAUGUGUUUCCAAAUGUGUCUUGAGUGACCACUUGUUAUCAGUUCUCACUUCCCUGCUCUGUAUGCAAAUAAACACGUACAUUUAUGUCAUUAAACGUCAUUUAAAAAUAGGUGUCGGUUCUAUUUCUAGCAUGCAUGCGUUUUCGGUGCGGCUCGAGCCGUGCCUGAGACGUGCGUGUCACGCAGGCAGUGUGUAAGCUCUAACCUGUUAACAUGGGAGCCGAAAUAUGAACGGACACGCCACGCAGCUGACACGCUCACGCAACGCAGACAGUGUGAAGCCGGCCUAAGAGCAGGCAGCAUCACCGACAGUAUGAUAUAACAUCCAAAACACACUGGUCUGAGUGAUCGAUGUGUCAAUGUGUCCUGAAUGCGUCCCGGGUGCAUUCACACUGGUACUUAUAGCUGUUCACUUGUCAUUGGCUCACUCAGGAAGGGUGUUAAUACCAUUUGAGAAUGAGUUUUUUAGGUUUAAAGUUAUCCAUCUUCAUGCUUUUGUAAACAGACAAUAGAGAAGUCUACUCAAAUAUUCCCAGCUUUACAAAUUAAUUGCUGGGGUCAUGAGAAUUUUGGGCCUCUAUACAUUGAGAAUUUGUGAUGAAGUGUAAAUGAAGCAAAUUCCAUUCCUCUGGAAUGGAAUUUGUUUUGCAAUAGUUUAUAAAACCACAUAAAUCUUUACUUGUGUAUUCAGUGUGCACGUUGUAUGUCUUUUCGCUCACUUUACACUGUUGUAUGUUAUGAAAAAGCUGCACACAUUGUCUGAAUAAAUGUUUCACUCUGGCUGAUGUUU